UACGUAGGGGGCUAGCGUUGUCCGGAAUCAUUGGGCGUAAAGAGCGUGUAGGCGGCCCGGUAAGUCCGCUGUGAAAGUCGGGGGGCUCAACCCUCGAAUGCCGGUGGAUACUGUCGGGCUAGAGUGCGGAAGAGGCGAGUGGAAUUCCUGGUGUAGCGGUGAAAUGCGCAGAUAUCAGGAGGAACACCGGUGGCGAAGGCGGCGACCUGGGUAGAUACUGACGCUGAGGUGCGAAAGCGUGGGGAGCAAACAGG
rnacentral:rRNA from 1 species